GACGAACGCUGGCGGCGUGCUUAACACAUGCAAGUCGAACGGUGAAGGGACCAGCUUGCUGGUUCUGGAUGAGUGGCGAACGGGUGAGUAACACGUGAGUAACCUGCCCCCUUCUUCUGGAUAACCGCAUGAAAGUGUGGCUAAUACGGGAUAUUCUGGGUCUGCCGCAUGGCGGGCCCGGGAAAGAUAUUGCUUCGGUGGGGGAUGGGCUCGCGGCCUAUCAGCUUGUUGGUGGGGUGAUGGCCUACCAAGGCGGUGACGGGUAGCCGGCCUGAGAGGGUGGACGGUCACAUUGGGACUGAGACACGGCCCAGACUCCUACGGGAGGCAGCAGUGGGGAAUAUUGCACAAUGGGCGCAAGCCUGAUGCAGCGACGCCGCGUGAGGGAUGGAGGCCUUCGGGUUGUAAACCUCUUUCGCCAGUGAAGCAGGCCUGCUCCUUGUGGGUGGGUUGACGGUAGCUGGAUAAGAAGCGCCGGCUAACUACGUG
rnacentral:rRNA from 1 species